rnacentral:lncRNA from 10 species
GCCCGAGCCGGCAGUGGCAAGCUGCUGGGCUUCCCUUCCACAUUGUGGAAGCUUUGUUCUUUUGCUCUUUGCGAUAAAUCUUGCCCCUGCUCACUCUUUGGGUCCACACUGCCUUUAUGAGCUGUAACGCCACGAAGGUCUGCAGCUUCACGAACCCAUCGGGAGGAACGAACAAUUCCAGACGCGCUGCCUUAAGAGCUGUAACACUCACCGCGAAGGUCCGCAGCUUCGCUCCUGAGCCAGCGAGACCACGAACCCACCAGAAGGAAGAAACUCCGAACACAUCCCAACAUCAGAAGAAACAAACUCCAAACACAUCCGAACAUCAGAAGGAACAAACUCCAGACGCGCCACCUUAAGAGCUGUAACACCGCGAGGGUCCGCGGCUUUAUUCUUGAAGUCAGUGAGACCAAGAACCCACCAGUUCCGGACACAAUACUUUUCACACUGCAUGAUGAAGAAAUUUAGCUUUAUUGUUAGGCAUUGUGGCUCUGGAGACCUGGAAGCACUGCUAACUGUUCUCUCGAUUUUCUGACGCUCGGCCACAUCAACCUGUCAUACUAGUUGUGAGGAGAAGUCAAGGACAGUGACACAGCCAGCCAGUCUGAGGCAUUUUCCAUCAUCCUGAAGGAGUUGCCCUAUCCUGCUUUUCACUGGAGGGGGCAUGGAUGGGGGCUCCUGACACACUGACCUCUGUCAGUUCCUUCAGCACACCAGGCUAAUCCCCAGUCUUGCGCCUUUGGACCAGAGGUUUUCUUUGCUCAGAAUACUGUUUCAACAGAUCUUUGCAUAGCUGGCUCUCGCUAUUUGACUAAAAUGUCAAUCCUCAGAGAGGUACUCCUUAAAUAUCCAAUCUUAAGUAGCAUCCCUUUCUCCCAGGAUCCUGUUUUUCAGAACUCUGUUUUCUUUUUAAAACACUUGUUAUCUGAAAGGAUGUCGUCUGCUUGCUUGUUUGUUCAUUUCUUUAUUGUCUAUUCCAUCUCACCCCUUCUCAGGAUGUAAGCUGUUUAAAGGCAAGGACCUUAUCUGUGUUACAUGCUGUAUUCCCAGGGCUCAGACAGAGCAUGACCUAUCGUAUGUACUAAAUAAAUAUCUC